UACAGAGGGAGCAAGCGUUGUUCGGAUUUACUGGGCGUAAAGGGCGCGCAGGCGGGCAAAUCAGUCGAACGUGAAACCUGCCGGCUCAACCGGCAGCUUGCGUUCGAAACUGUUUGCCUUGAGUCCAGGAGAGGAGAGCGGAAUCGGCAGUGUAGCGGUGAAAUGCGUAGAUAUUGCCGAGAACACCGGUGGCGAAGGCGGCUCUCUGGCCUGGAACUGACGCUGAGGCGCGAAAGCUAGGGGAGCGAACAGG
rnacentral:misc_RNA from 1 species